ACCCACACUGGCCUCCCAAAGUGCUGGGAUUACAGGCAUGAGCCAAGUCUUUGCCCUCCGAGAGCUAAUGACCUAGAGAAAGGGACACGACCAGCCAUCAUAUUACACAAGCAAGUAUAAAAUUACAAAUUGUUCCUGGUACCAAAAGGAGAAUGACAAAGUGCUGUGACAAUCCAUAUAAUUGAGUGCUUUUACUCAGUGUGAGUGGGCAGGGAGCACACAUCUCAGGGAUGUGUGGACAGCUAAGAAAGGCAGGCAAGCCAACAGUAUCCCAGGCAGAGAGGAUGGCUGCGGCGUCUCCUAGGACGUCCUUCCCAGGCAUCCCAGCCUGGAGAGCCCUGCUUCCCCUUGAUGCACCAUUUGAAUGACACCCUUUAGGAAGUCUUCCUGGAUUCUCUCAACCAACCCCCCUUCUUUCCUCCAGCCAAUCACUCAGUAAGUGUCUACUAAGCACCUACUGUGUGUCAAGCACUGUGAGGACACCCAGUGCCUUGGGGAAGAAGACAAAGCCCUCGCCUGUUUAACAACUGCAUUCUUAUUCAGGUCUGAUGAGGCCAACUGCUCAGGAGACAACACCAUCUGAGAGUGUGUUACUCAGUUCCCAAGAGAAGAGGGCACUCCAAACCACACGGCACACAGGAACCGCCGGCAUCGGGAGCAAGAGGACAUGGUGGGGAGGAGGCAUUACUGUGGUUUCCAUACAAAGGAACAGGUAGAGCAGGGUAGACAGGCUCAGGACCAGCUGGUUUGAAUCAUUUCAGCAGGCAGGCCCUGGCACAGGGCUGUUCCUAGUUGUCUGGUCCCUAACCUCGGGGUGAUCGGGGGAAUUCCAGUGGCCCAGAGGACGGGAGCCUGACGGAGGUGUGGGGUGUGGGCUCUGCAUUAGUUGGUUUGCGUAAGAGGGUGUGCUUGCAGGCAAGUGUUUUAACCCUACAGACCCUGGCUCACCCUGGGAGGGUCAGCCUCUCCAGGGUCCACAGGAUCCAGAUGUCAAAGCAUCAGAAAAAAAAAGACACAGUUAAUGCAUUGCCCUUGAGGUUUAGCUGUUUACCGGGGGAGAUGAGCACGAGCUGACCAUGCAACACAGCUACACACACAGCCGGGGCCCCCAGCCAGCCUCUGGAGGGAUGGGCUUCUCUGUGGAAGCUUCUCUCGAGCCCUGAGGGGUGGACAGGAGCCAGUCAGGCAAACAGGACAUCUCGAUGGAGGAAGCACAAAAAAGAGAGACGGAGGAGGAGGGGAACAAUUCAGAAAAUGAAAGUAGUUCAAAAUUGCUAGGAAGCCCAAGCUUGUGGGAAAAAGCACCAGUAAGAGAGAGGAUGUCAGGACCAGAUGGUGGAGGGUGGCGUUUGACCCAGAAGCUGGCUUUAUCAAGAAGGCAAGAAGAGCCACAGAAGGGUUUGAUGGAGGAGCACUGCACAGCAUUCAACAGAAUUUAUUCUGGACAAUAUUUCACCCUACUAAAACAUCAUACUCUUCAGGAUCCCAGGAAUCUAGCUGUAAAUUCUGGCCAGUGAGAUUUAAGUGCAAAUGGAUGGAACUUCCGGAAAUGUUCCUUGAAAGGACAGGACGAUGGCAAAUAAUACGUCAGCAGUUACUUCUGAUGCUGCGGCCACCUCAGCAAAUGGAAGCACCUGGCCCGCCUCGCCUGGCAAAUCCACCUGGAACGGACCGUGCCUUGGAGAAAAGGAGAGAAGCUGCAGAACGACCCUCAAAGCCAGCAGCCUGAUAAACUGCAUCUCAGACACAACCAGUCUUUAGAGACAGGGAAUAGCAGACACUCUUUGUGAUGAACGCACUGAAAUUUCAGGGAAGCCACACUACAGGGUUUCUUAACUGAACUUUUGUGAAUUUUAUUCAAAGCAGACCAUAACAAUAUGGUUCUUGAUUGCCGUUAUUUCUCUGCCUCGUGAGGAAUGUGGGCCUGGUGGAACUGGCUAUUGUUCUGCGUAUCACAUGCUUCCCCAUUAUUUCCCUUUCCACGUCCACACUGAAAUUUGGUCCCAGCGAGCGGGCAGGUAAAGGGGACCCAAUUUUCGAAGAAAAUUAAUGAAGGGAGAAUGGAUGGGCGAGCGGCUGCCCUUUCAUCCCUGACGGCAGAGCAGGCUCAGGUACAGGUGGGUGGGCUGCUAGGCGUUGCAUUUGAAUUCCUUUAUCAUCUCAGCCUUUUCUCUGAAGGCCUUCAAAGAGCUGAGCCCAGCUGCUCCCAUCCCCUCGCCUGUGCCUCCUCUACUGAUGACAGGACACAGAAAGCAUCCCCAAACCUCCAGCCACAGAGGCAGACUGGGGCAGGUGCUGAUGUCCUUGCAGCAAGUGAAAUAUUGUACUUAUAUUCAAAGACAGCUGUCUUCACUCCAGGUGCCUGGGAUGACAGUCACACCAGACACCGCAGCUAUCUUAUAUCACUCCAUCUUUUCUGCUCAGCCAGUGUACUCAUGGUUCAUUGUUCAAGACCUCCCAAACCAGCAAGCCGAAUUUCACUGCUCUGAGUUUAAAAUGUAUUAACUGCUGUCGUGGUCUAAUAGUAAGUAUUAUAUCUGCUUUAAGAUCUCCCAGCAGGGGAUAAGGGAAGCAAACAUGGAGCUGGAAAUUCAUGGAUUCUGCUCUUCAAGAAACAUCAGGCCUGAAGAAGGGCCGUGGAGCUCUUGGGAUGGUGCCUGCAGUUAAUGAGCCUGACAUUCUUUGCCUUCCAUGACAGGACAGAGGUUCCCUUCACGGUAAGGUUGUGGGGUUCUCUUCACGGUAAGGUUGUGGGGUUCCCUUCACGGUAAGGUUGCGGGGUUCCCUUCACGGUAAGGUUGCGGGGUUCCCUUCACGGUAAGGUUGCGGGGUUCUCUUCGCGGUAAGGUUGUGGGGUUCCCUCCGCGGUAAGGUUGUGGGGUUCCCUCCGCGGUAAGGUUGUGGGGUUCCCUCCGCGGUAAGGUUGUGGGGUUCUCUUCACGGUAAGGUGGGGCUCCCUUCACGGUAAGGUUGUGGGGUUCCCUUCACAGUAAGGCCAGGCAGUGUUGGCUCACGGCCAUGCGGCAGCCUGAAAAUCAACCAGAACUUGGAAGUGAACACACACUCUGCCUCUCAAUAGAGCAGUGACACUUCGUUCCUCUGAGCCUCCCUUCCCUCUCUGUAAAAUGAGAAUAAUUCUCACUUUUCCUGAGAGUGUAUAGAAACUAGAAGAAGCAAAGCAUGAAAAAGCAACUGGCAUCCUGCAGACCAAACACCCACACUGACCAAUAGGGAAGAUACCCCUCUACUAUGGAGAAAUCUUCUGAAAGGACCUCGCACCUAAAAGAGCAUAUUGAGAACAUUAAAUCGCUUUUACAUAACAGAGUCCUACCAGGGGGUCACCAGACCAUUUGAUCUCACAGAUUUCAAGCAUGUGAGUUAAAAGAAAACGCACACCCCAGGAGACACAGUGCCAGUGGACUCCGCGAUAGCUUUGAUUCCCUUGUCAACUCAGAUUUCACAGGUGAGCUAAAGUUAACCCAAACUUGCCUUUGCCACCCAAGCUCAUCAUAAUGGGAAAACAGGGCGGUGGAGGGGGGCUGGGGAGAGGAACUGGCCUGAGGGCGGGCCUUCCACCGUCUAGAGUAUGGCCUUACUCUAAGGGGAUGGUUCUGGUUUGCCAUCAUCUGAAAGAAAUCAGCUGAUCCAGCAGUUCCCAGACUCACAGGCCAUGUCCCACAGGGAAGACGCAGAGGGCCCGGACACAGGCACCGCAGCCUGAGAAGGAUCAGGUGGGACAGUGCUUUCAGACAUCCUCCUCAACACAUCUUGACCUUCAGGGACUGUAAACGCUCCUCCUGGUGGGGUUAUUUUAAAUCAAAGGCCAGCAUGCCCACAGCUGCACAAGUACAGAAUGCCUAAGAAAAUAAAUACUAGUUAGAGGGUGAUUUAAUGCAGUUAGCUGCAGUGGGUGGAGGCUGGAGGCAGUAGCUUUUAACAAGUUUUAUUUGAAAGACUAACUCAGUGUGGUUGUCACGACAGUUGUGUUUGUGGCUGGGCUUGCGCUGCUGACAGAUGGAAACCUGGCAGCCUUUCCUAACUCAUGCAGAUGCUCUACAGGAGGGACCCGGCUAAGUAAUGCCAGCGUUAACCUUACACAAACCGUUCUCCUCCUGGUAAUAAACAGAACAUUUUAGGGCUGUUCUGGUCAAAACACUAGCAGAAAUAUUCAGCUGUUCCUCCCUUUUCAUCUCUGUUUGCCCUCUGAGAAUUCAUUUAAAAAGAAAAAUGCUUCUGCAGAGAAUCACUGCCUGAAAAAAAAAAGAAAAAGAAAAAGAAAAGGCAAUGUUUCACAGACAUCCUCAUCUUUGCAAAUGCCCUCUCGAGUCAUCGAGUCCCCGACAACGUUAGGAUCUCCAGGAAAGGAAGAUAACCAGCAGGACACCUAUGGUGGCAGUUUAGUAUUCAGGAAAGCCAGCGUUAAAAGAAAAUACACUCCUAUCAGUCACUCUGGGAAAUCAGUUUCAGAAAACUGCUUUGCAGUUGAAAAACAAACAAAAAUGCCCUGUGGAAAAAAAAAAAAAGGCUCAGUAUUUCAUAUUUGCGCACCAAGUGUGCUUUUAAGGAAGCAAAACUUCUUGAACUUUGCUGUAUUUUGAAAGAGAACAUCAUGACACAUGGAGACAUACACCCAAACAGGAUCAGCCAGCCAGCAGUGGAAAUAGAGGAGGGAACACCCAGGAACGAGUUCUGGGAACUCCUGGUACAACCGUAUGCAAAUCAUUUCACAGACGUGCUGGCAGGCUGAGUUCCCAGAGUAAAUGAUUUUCACUUCUGUAUCGGCACUAUCUUCGCACCAAGGUAACUGACCACAUGCCUCUGGGGAACACAGACAGGUGGGGUCUUUGUUAACCCUCUAUUAUUAUAAAAGGCAAAACCAUCACAGAACAUUUUGUAUACACUGUCAAUGAAUCUCUGUGGGUAGAUGAUAAUAGUUUUUUUUUUUUUUUUCAUUUUUAAAAAUGUUUUGGGUAAUUUGCAGAAUGACAAUACAACCCAUUGGAACAAAUGACUUUCCAAAUAGUUUUCAAGUACUCCACCUAUAUUUUCAAAGGCCAGAUAGCUCCGCCCAAAGAAUUUGGUGAUUUUAACCAUUUCUCAACGUGCAACUUGUAAAGGAUUUCUCCUUCAGCACAGAUGACAUCUCGGGCCAGCUAACCUGCAGAUAGAGAGAUUUUCUUGGGAAAUCUAUCAGUGGGUGUUGCUUUUUAAAUAAAUCACAAAAGAAAACUUACUCUAGCAAAAGGGAGGGGGGUCAAUUACUCUUAAUUCCACAUAUGGUUUAAAGUAUUUCUAAAUAUUUGCCAACAAAAACAAAGACCAGGUUAUAGUGAAGGCACUUCUUACCAAUAUCAUCUGCGCUCAGUGAUUCGUCUCCUUCCCUGCUCCACCUUUUCCUAACGCUGUAUAUCCACUGGCAGGAGGUCGCCCGCAGGGGGACUGAUGGGCUUGGGCUGGCUCUGGCUCUAGGAAAUGAGAAUUCUUGCGACCUAAUUUGAUGUAGAUUUUUUUAAAGCCUGCUUAAUGUAUGGCACCUCUGGGGAUCCCAGCAGAUCAGACGAGGCGUAAGGAGAGAGCAUAUAUGCUCCUGACUCCCUCUCUGUAAGGGUCACCUCUAGUUACUCAAGACGAAUGACUUCUCUUCUGAAAUUACCCUCCUUCCAGUAAAUGCUGCCCCUCUUUCCUUUGGAUCUGGGGUUGAUCAUAGGCCUGCCUUUUCUGGAAACAUGCACUGCAUCGCUCUUCAUGGUUUCCCCAUACCUGCCCAUGCUUUGUACGUAUCUUUUUAUGAAAUCAUCCUCAAAUUAUCCCAGCCUGAGUAUGCCACCUGUUUCCUGAAGGGACCUUGCUUGGUGCACAGUCCUGUGUAACACUAAUUCCUAACCUGGGCUCCCUGAAUUCCCUCCUCUGAGCCGUCUAUUGGUAGAAGUCUAUCUCAGCAUAAGUCUCUUUUAUAAUUCCUUGUCAUUUAUUUUAUGUAUUUAAAAACAUUUUUCCAUGAAGGGGUCCGUGGGCAUCACCAGAUUGGCAAAGAAGUGCACAGUAUUAAAAAAAAAUGGUGGAACAAAGUGAGCAGACAUCUGUUUUGCUCUCUUCUCCACUGCUCUGUAUUGAAGGUAGUAUACAAUGGAAUCGCUGAUCCCUAUGGGGAAAAUGUCAGAGACUCCGGUCUCCUUCACAUAUGCUUCCUCUCAGAAAGCCGCUAGCAUAAGCCCCUCAUUUUACCCCGAGGUAAAGCUUUCAAACUGGUUGAAAGGGUGAAGGUUUGAGAAUUAUUUUCUUAGAUAUAAAGAGAAGUAAGUAGGUUCUACUUCCCUUGAAAGAAGGCCUAGCCAUCUCAUUUUACUUGGUUCUCUUUUUCUGUCCCUGUCUCUGUCACUCUUUUUUGUUUCUCUUGGUGUGUGUGUGCACGUGCACAUAUGUUUGGAUGCAGAAGUACAAAGUCUGGCCUGGGCAAUUCCUCCAAGGAAGCAAGACUGAUGAGUCCUCAUGUUUUUCUCUUUUGCUUGAGUCUGUGCAUCCAAGACACCUGGAGACUUUAGGCCUGGUGGAUCUCCUCUUUGGGGAGACCUGGCCACCUCUUUUGCCAUUUUCAGUGUCCUCUUCUCUGAUAUAGCUAAGUCAGGGGGACCUAGGAAGCAACACCCUGUUUUCCCAAAUCCUUCCCCCUACCAAGAAGAGUCUUUGCAUGUAUGUAUGCAUGUAUUGACUGAUUGAUUCAUUUUAGUGACAGGGUCUCACUUUGUAACCCAGGCCAGAGUGCCAUGGCAUGACUGACCUCAGUGGUCAUGAGCUACCGUGUUCAGCCACCAACCAAGAAGAGUCUUGAUAAACUGCAGCCAUUUCCUUUUUCUGAUUUGGCUCAAACCCUCUUGCUCACUGAUCUCCUCUGGCUUUCUCAUGGGCAGAUCUACUCUCAUUUUUCUGGGCAGUGGGCUGGAAAGAUGGGGACAAGGCCAGCUGAUGGGUGACUGCAGGUAGACUAACACCCAUGCACUGUUAGUGUUCAUUCUGAAUGACUGCUGAAGAUCAUUCUCCAUGGAAUUUCACCUAGUCUACUAGAGUUUGUAACCGAGAGGCUAAAGGCACUGUUAGUAUGAAAAGUUAAAUUAUUUUGCUUUUUUCUCUGUACAGAGAUCUGGUUUGAUGAGGUAACUUAUCAAGGGAAAUGUUCAGUAUUUCAGGCUUCUCUUGCCAAACACAACCAAAAUAUUACACUUACAUUUUCAUCUUUAUAAGCAUUUGAUUCAGGAUGUUUAUAUUGUUAAGAAUCCAUCAUCCUUGAUCAAGUAAUUAAUACUAAAUAAGAAGAUGAACUAAAAACUGUAGCAUAUAAAGUAAGUCUAAUUGCAAAUCAGGACAAGAAAGUUUUCACAGACAAGAUGAUGUGGAAACAAAAAAGCAAUACCUCAAGUGUCAGAACCAGAUUGUGUAGAAUUAGGGCCGAGUCUUUUAAUUGGCAGCCAAAAUGAACAAGAGUAGGUAAUAUACAAGAUAAGGAACUGUCAUUGAUAAACCAGUCUGUGACUGAAAAUUGAUUUGGUGGCUAACAUGAGUUUUAAAGAAAAAAAUGCAAAAAGCAUAAAAGAGUUAUAUAAAAUCGACAACUAUCCCAGAGGCAAUGGAAAAGCUAAGCAUACAAUAUACUGGAUAGGGUCAAGAUAGUUUGACAGUCAAAGGCCAACUAGAAGGAGAAACAGAAGACAUCUAAAUGGAUCAAAAUAUGUAACACGUUCGACAUCACAGAGCAGAUCCCACAAGCCUGUCUUGACAGGCUUGAUUUGCACAAAGCAAGCAUGGCCAAAGUUAAUUUUAAUUUUCUUUGUCAAAAAAUUGCCCUUCCUGCUUAUCUUUGGCCUACACAGUGUGAAAAUAUUUGUUAAAGGUUGAGGAUUUUAAAAAGACGAACCUACUGCCAAUUAUAAGAACUCGUGUGGAAAAUGCCUCUUAAUAGGUAGGGAAAAAAUGGUCAUGGGACCAAUAUUUUAAUCUAGUUAUUAUUAAAAGAAACAACUUAUUAUAAACAAGUGCUCACAGCUGUGUGCCUCACAGAAUUUCUUUUGAAAACAUGGGUUUGCGAUUGGAGAGACCAGGAGAGGGACCCUGGGGAACGAAGGCUGCUCGUCCUCCUGGGCUCUGAUCCUCCCCCAGGCUCUGUUGUCCCCGCUACGUGAUUGGGAAGAAAACAUGACCCUGUAGAGCAGCCACUUGUGCUCCGUCAUCCACUCCUCUUCCAAAUGCCAACAAGGCCACGUGCUAACUGUCUUAGCUUAGGCGAACGACUUCAACUCUCUAAGCCUCCAGAGGGCUCCUUCUUUUCACAGCUGCCUUUGAUUUUUAUUUGCACAUUGUCCUCUUGUGCAUGCUUAUUUCUACCUGUAGCUGCAGUUCCCCAAGUCGAACUCAAUCCGUUCACUGUGCUCCCCUGCUCAAAGCAACAGACUCAGGAGUGAGCAAAUGACCAAGCUGAAUCUCAUGCAUUCUGUUGCUGCUGACAACAAAGAUGUUUUCUCUUCCUCACAGGACACGAAGCUUGGGGUGAGUCAGGUUUUGCCCUGGAAAAGCUGCCUCAAGGGAACAGAGCUGCUGCAGGAGAAGCAAGGCUGAGAGCAGGAGAGAAGCCAGGUCACGGCAAUUUCAUCUGCGCUGCAGUUGAAGCUGGAACUGCCCACUGGACCUAGAUGCUGUGAUAGGAGCCAGCACAUUUUCUGUUUUUGUUUAAGCCAGUAUGGAUUGGGUUUUCUGUCACUUGCAACACAGAAUCCUGGUUCAAGUCUAUUGGGAAAAUUACAUAACAUAAGCCUGGGUAACACUUAGUAUAGUGCCUGUGCCUAAGCAAAUUCACACUAACUGCUUGUCAUCUUAUCAUUAUUCCUAAUGCUGACCAAAGCCUAGAGGAAACGAAUCUCCUACCAACUCCCUGGUUUAGUAGUGACAAUACUGGACUAUCUCCAAUCAAAUAUUCUAUCAGACUCAAAAGCAUGGUGACAAUACUGGACUAUCUCCAAACAAAUAUUCUAUCAGACUCAAAAGCAUGGUGACAAUACUGGACUAUCUCCAAACAAAUAUUCUAUCAGACUCAAAAGCAUGGUGACAAUACUGGACUAUCUCCAAACAAAUAUUCUAUCAGACUCAAAAGCAUGGGAGUAUCAAAGAAAAAACUACUACAAAGUUUGUAAUCUUAGAUCAAUUUUGACUCACCUGACUUGGCUGAUGGGACACCUAAACCUUGGUAAUGUUCUCACCUAAACUUGUUUGGGUUAGAAGCGAAACACACAUCCCCAAGUUUCUUAUCUGUCUGAGGUGUUCUUUGGCAGUCAUUAUGUCUCUGGGUGGUGGGGCCUCAGUUCCUUUACGCGUGGAUACAGUUCCAUGGGCCUGGGUUGCCAAUUCCUCCUCUGAACAACACACCAUUAGAAAACAUACACCUCCCUGGCUGGGCGCGGUGGCUCACGCCUGUAAUCCCAGCACUUUGGGAGGCCGAGGCAGGAGGAUC